GUGAGGAAUUUUCCGCAAUGGGCGAAAGCCUGACGGAGCAAUGCCGCGUGAAGGAUGAAGGCCUAUGGGUUGUAAACUUCUUUUCUCAGAAAAGAAUUAUGACGGUAUCUGAGGAAUAAGCAUCGGCUAACUCUGUGCCAGCAGCCGCGGUAAGACAGAGGAUGCAAGCGUUAUCUGGAAUGAUUGGGCGUAAAGCGUCUGUAGGUUGUUUAAAAAGUAUUCUGUCAAAGAUUAGGGCUUAACCCUAGAUAGGCAGAAUAAACUUUUAAGCUAGAGUUUGGUAGAGGCAGAGGGAAUUCCCGGUGGAGCGGUGAAAUGCGUAGAUAUCGGGAGGAACACCAAAGGCGAAGGCACUCUGCUGGGCCAAUACUAACACUGAGAGACGAAAGCGAGGGGAGCAAAUGGGAUUAGAAACCCGGGUAGUCC
rnacentral:rRNA from 1 species